AACGAACGCUGGCGGCAUGCCUAACACAUGCAAGUCGAACGAGACCUUCGGGUCUAGUGGCGCACGGGUGCGUAACGCGUGGGAACCUGCCCUUAGGUUCGGAAUAACUCCCCGAAAGGGGUGCUAAUACCGGAUAAUGUCUUCGGCCCAAAGAUUUAUCGCCUUUGGAUGGGCCCGCGUUGGAUUAGCUAGUUGGUAGGGUAAAAGCCUACCAAGGCGACGAUCCAUAGCUGGUCUGAGAGGAUGAUCAGCCACGCUGGGACUGAGACACGGCCCAGACUCCUACGGGAGGCAGCAGUGGGGAAUAUUGGACAAUGGGCGAAAGCCUGAUCCAGCAAUGCCGCGUGAGUGAUGAAGGCCUUAGGGUUGUAAAGCUCUUUUACCCGGGAUGAUAAUGACAGUACCGGGAGAAUAAGCUCCGGCUAACUCCGUG
rnacentral:rRNA from 1 species